GUAGCAAAUCUUCGAGUUAAGCCCCUCGAGUUAAGCCCUUCGAGUUAAGCCCCAACCACGCCCUUUCGAGUUAAGCCCCGACCACGCCCAUAUCACGCCCAUGUCACGCCCAUUUCCGUUGAGGGCUUAACUCGAAGUACAUAACUGGAGUUAGGUACUUCGAGUUAAGCCCUCUAGAAAAUAGGGGCUUAACUCGAGCAAAGUCAAACAUUCUGUUCUUCGAGUUAAGCCCCAGCGUUUGAAAGAUGCAAACGAGUUACGGUUAAUCUGAUCCCAAACAAAUUAAAGAAUCAUUUGGAUCGCGUUUCGUUCAAUCACGGUUUAAUACGUUUUAUUUCAGCCGACGUAUUAUAUAUAUUAGGGACUUUAAAGAUUGAAGUUUACGGGAAACUGCUAACCGCAAACGGCGAAUUUCAAAUCGUAAUUUGAAGUCAACUGUUAGCUGUUCGGGGUUAGAGCAACUUGUGAAUAAAGAUUGACCUUAUCUCCGGCAAAUUAAGGUCAAUCUUAAAAUAUUAUCAAAUUUUAUACCGGUGUCUCAAAAAAACACCAGACUCUGUUUGAUUUCACGUAACGUAAAAGCUAUGAUAAAAGCUAUCGCAAUGAAUUAAAGAUCAUUGCAUUCAUAAUAGACUAACUUAUAUUUUGAUUAGCAAAUAAUCAUGAACGUGUCAUUUUAAAAUGAGCUCAGGGCUGGUUUACAAGACGUUUAUGAUAACUAUGCAUACGCAGGUAAUUUAUUGAAGUUCAAUUCAUCAACUUAAGUCCUAAAGAGUAAAGGGAGUUAAUUUUCAACAGUUUUAGACCCAAUUCUCAACGUGGAAAUAUGCACUUUCGUUGGAAAUAUGCACUUUCACAUUAUAUGGUUCUUACAACUAUUCCAGUCUUCAUUAUAUGAAACGAUUUCAUUAGACUGCACACAUUUCAAAACGGAAAGCGGUCGCAAAAUGUCGAUCGCUCCACAAACUGCGUAAUGCAAAUCUACCUUAUAUUAAAUACCGGGUGUCUCAAAAAAACUGGACAGUAUUUUUGACUUCAUGUAACGUAAAAGCUAUAAAAGCGAUAAUGCAUUCAGAAAUGACUAACUUCGAUUUUGAUAUAUAAUAUUGACUGCGCUAUUGAUGUUAAUUUAAACGUUGAACUAAUGUUUUUGAAAAUAACAAAAAUUAGCAUACAGUAAAACAACACUUAUAAUUAUAUAUACUGAUGCAGUUAUAAUUGUUAAAUAAUGUUUUAAUUUUGGUUGUAUCUCGCACAAUAUUGCAUGUAAAUUUAAGUGUUUUAUAUAUCAAAAUCUAAGUUAGUCAUUUAUGAAUGCAAUGACCUUUAUUUCAUUGCGAUAGCUUUUAUAGCUUUUACGUUAUAUGAAAUCAAACAAAGUCCGGUGUUUUGUGGGACACCGGUAUAAAAUUUGAUAAUAUUUUAAGAUUGACCUUUACGGCAGAAAAUGUCAAUCUUUAUUCCUUUAUUAAUAGAUAAAAGUAGCUGAUUCAUAGUCCAAUUUUUAUGCACAAGUUCAGUUGCUCUAACUUCCAACAUCUAACAGUUGACUUCAAAUUACGAUUUGAAAUUUGCGGUUCGCCGUAAACGUCAAUCUUAAAGUCCCUAAUAUAUAUAAUACGUCGGCUGAAAUAAAACGUAUUGAACCGUGAUUGAACGAAACGCGAUCCAAAUGAUAAUUUAAUUUGUUUGGGAUCAGAUUAACCGUAACUCGUUUACAUCUUUCAAACGUUGGGGCUUAACUCGAAGAACAAAAUGGUUGACUUUGCUCGAGUUAAGCCCCUAUUUUCUAGAGGGCUUAACUCGAAGUACCUAACUCCAGUUAUGUACUUCGAGUUAAGCCCCCAACGGAAAUGGGUGUGGUAUGGGCGUGGUCGGGGCUUAACUCGAAAGGGCGUGGUCGGGGCUU